rnacentral:rRNA from 1 species
UACCAGCCCCCUGAGUGGUAAGGGCGAUUAUUUGGCUUAAAGCGUCCGUAGCCGGCUUAGUGAGUCUCUUGUUAAAUCCAAUGAUUCAAUCAUUGAACUGCAAGAGAUACUACUAUGCUAGAGGACGGGAGAGGUCGACGGUAGUCCAAGGGUAGGGGUGAAAUCCUAUAAUCCUUGGAGGACCACCAGUGGCGAAGGCGGUCGACUAGAACGUGCCUGACGGUGAGGGACGAAAGCUGGGGGAGCGAACCGGAUUAGAUACCCGGGUAGUCCCAGCUGUAAACGAUGCGGGCUAGGUGUAGGGGCAGCUACGAGCUGCUCCUGUGCCGCAGAGAAAUUGUUAAGCCCGCCGCCUGGGGAGUACGAUCGCAAGAUUGAAACUUAAAGGAAUUGGCGGGGAGCACCACAAGGGGUGAAGGCUGCGGUUU